rnacentral:misc_RNA from 1 species
GUGAGUCAUCGAAUCUUUGAACGCACAUGGCGCCUUCCAGUAUCCUGGGAGGCAUGCCUGUCCGAGCGUCGUUUCAACCCUCGAGCCCCCGUGGCCCGGCGUUGGGGAUCUGCCACGGCAGGCCCCUAAAACCAGUGGCGGACCCGAAGGCCCUCUCCUUUGCGCAGUAGCAUCAGCCUCGCAUUGGGAUCCCUCGGCGUCCUGCCUCUAAACCCCCCACAAGUCCGCUCCGGCGGCACCAAGGUUGACCUCGGAUCAGGUAGGAAUACCCGCUGAACUUAAGCAUAUCAAUAAGCGGAG